UGUCCGGUGAUGAAAAAACUGUUAAUCAUACCAUCUUUAGAGACUGAUUGGUCGAUGUGCGUCCAUGCUGUCAUUCUACAAUUCUGAGGACA
rnacentral:snoRNA from 1 species